rnacentral:rRNA from 1 species
CCUACGGGUGGCUGCAGUGGGGAAUUUUGGACAAUGGGCGCAAGCCUGAUCCAGCCAUGCCGCGUGAGUGAAGAAGGCCUUCGGGUUGUAAAGCUCUUUCGGCCGGGAAGAAAUCGCAUGGGUUAAUACCCUGUGCGGAUGACGGUACCGGCAUAAGAAGCACCGGCUAACUACGUGCCAGCAGCCGCGGUAAUACGUAGGGUGCGAGCGGGAGUCGGAAUUACUGGGCCGAAAGCUUGCGCUAGCGGUUAAAUCCCCGGGCUCAACCUGGGAACUGCGCUUAUGACUGGCAAGCUAGAGUACGGCAGAGGGGUGUGGAACUCCACGUGUAGCAGUGAAAUGCGUAGAGAUGUGGAGGAACACCAAUGGCGAAGGCAGCCCCCUGGGUCGAUACUGACGCUCAUGCACGAAAGCGUGGGUAGCAAACAGGAUUAGAUACCCUAGUAGUC